GCCGCGGUGGCGGAAUUGGUAUACGCGCACGGUUCAGAGCCGUGUGAGAGCAAUCUCUUGGAGGUUCAACUCCUCUCCGCGGCACCA
rnacentral:tRNA from 1 species